CCUACGGGAGGCAGCAGUAGGGAAUCUUCCACAAUGGGCGAAAGCCUGAUGGAGCAACGCCGCGUGGGUGAAGAAGGUCUUCGGAUCGUAAAACCCUGUUGUUAGAGAAGAAAGUGCGUGAGAGUAACUGUUCACGUUUCGACGGUAUCUAACCAGAAAGCCACGGCUAACUACGUGCCAGCAGCCGCGGUAAUACGUAGGUGGCAAGCGUUAUCCGGAUUUAUUGGGCGUAAAGGGAACGCAGGCGGUCUGUUAAGUCUGAUGUGAAAGCCUUCGGCUUAACCGGAGUAGUGCAUUGGAAACUGGGGGGCUUGAGUGCAGUAGAGGAGAGGGGAACUCCAGGUGUAGCGGUGAAAUGCGUAGAUAUAUGGAAGAACACCAGUGGCGAAAGCGGCUCUCUGGUCUGUAACUGACGCUGAGGUUCGAAAGCGUGGGUAGCAAACAGGAUUAGAUACCCCGGUAGUC
rnacentral:rRNA from 1 species